AUGCCGAAGUGCCCCAAGUGCGACAAGGAGGUGUAUUUUACUGAGCAAGUGACUUCACUAGGCAAGGACUGGCAUCAUCCCUGCCUGAAGUGUGAGAAAUGUGGAAAGACACUGACCUCUGGGGGUCAUGCUGAGCAUGAAGGCAAGCCCUACUGCAAUCAUCCCUGCUACUCCGCCAUGUUUGGGCCCAAAGGUUUUGGGCGAGGAGGAGCUGAGAGCCACACUUUCAAGUAGACUGAGGUUGUGGAAAUUCCCCC